AUGUAUCUGAGAGACACAGGUUUUCACAGGCU
rnacentral:scRNA from 1 species